AAACAAUAGGAAAGUUUUGCAUUCCCAACACUUGCACCCUGCGCCUUGCUAAACACACAUUUGAAAGGACAAGGGCUCGGAUUACUAAUGCGGGUUACUGUGAGCGAUGGUCAAAGAAGGUCGAAGAGAGCAAAGGGAAUGGCCAGGGUGGCGGGAAUCCUUGAUGACACUGUUAGCCUUCCUGAAGCAACGCACCGUGAAGAUGGACUGGAUGGAAGCGAUGAGUCUGUGAUGGACUGGGCUGUGUUUACCCGUCUCUGCAGGUUCCUUUGGUGUUGACUUGGGUCCAGUGUCCUGCAACUGAUUGGAGUGUCACUGGCAAGGCCAGCACUUAUGGCCCAUCCCUAAUUGGCCCAUUAACUGAGUGGUGUGCAAGGCCAUUUCAGAGCGCACUUAAGAAUCAACUGCAUUGGUGCAUGUGGAGUCACAUAUAUACCAGACCGAGGAAGAAUGGCAAUUUCCUUCCUGAAGGAUAUUGGUGAACCAGAUGGGGUUUUGAUUUUGACUUUGUUUUGUUAGUUCUGGAUUAUGAAUUGAAAUUCCAUCGCUGCCGCAGU